rnacentral:rRNA from 1 species
UCUUAGUGGCGGACGGGUGAGUAACGCGUGGGUAACCUGCCGUAUACAGGGGGAGUAACACUUAGAAAUAGGUGCUAAUACCGCAUAAGCGCACGGGGCUGCAUGGCCCAGUGUGAAAAACUCCGGUGGUAUAAGAUGGACCCGCGUCUGAUUAGCUUGUUGGCGGGGUAACGGCCCACCAAGGCGACGAUCAGUAGCCGGCCUGAGAGGGUGGACGGCCACAUUGGGACUGAGACACGGCCCAAACUCCUACGGGAGGCAGCAG